rnacentral:rRNA from 1 species
ACGAACGCUGGCGGCGUGCUUAACACAUGCAAGUCGAACGAUUAAAGCUCACUUCGGUGAGUGUAUAGAGUGGCGAACGGGUGAGUAACACGUGGGAAACCUGCCCCUUUCUUCGGGAUAACUUCGGGAAACCGUUGCUAAUACCGGAUACUCCGGGAUGGUCGCAUGGCCGACCCGGGAAAGCUUUAUGUGGAAAGGGAUGGUCCCGCGGCCCAUUAGCUUGUUGGUGGGGUAAUGACCUACCAAGGCAAUGAUGGGUAGCCG